rnacentral:tmRNA from 1 species
GGGGGCGUAUUGGUUUCGACGGGGACUGUUCGAGCAUCGGCGGCGGGUCGUGGGGCUGCGGCCACGUACCAACGCGGGCGUAAAAGAAACGCGAACAAACAAGAACUCGCUCUGGCUGCUUAAUGCCGGACGUUCACCGAGCGGUCGCCCGCACCGCUUGGAUGGGCGCCAACUUCGCGGGCUGGUCGAAGCGCCUUUGCCUGUGGGCCUUUGACGAGAUAACAGCAGGCUAGCCCGAAAGAGAGCGUGUCGUUUCGCGCUCUGACGGCGAACCUCAGUAAAACGACUACACCCGUAGAAGCCGGUGUCGCGAGGUUCUCGGACAGGGGUUCGACUCCCCUCGCCUCCACCA